CGCCAAUAUCACUUUUAUGUCUUCCUGCUAUACUAAAGAAAAAACUGACCAUAUGCUAACAAAUCAAUAAAAGAAACAUUAAUAAGUAAAAUAACAGUUAAGGUUUCAAAGCAGGUCUUCAAACUCCCAUUAAAAUUAAGAAAAGGAACGAAGGAAAGUUUUGUUUAGUCGGCGCAACAUCUGUGGUCAUAUGCCGGAGAGAGACAGAAGGGGAAGGAGUUAUAGGAGAAAGGGGUGGACAGGGGUGUAGGGUAUCAGAAAAGCCACCCAAAUUUUUCCACUAUGCUUCAGAAAAGGAGACUAUGUAUAAGCCAUCCAGGAAGACGAGGAAAGGACUAACUGUCUAGUAUCACGUGUAGCACCAAGGGAAGGAAGGAAAUAUAGGGGAGGGAGACAUAGGGACACUUUCAGUCACUCUGUUUCGAUCGUUACCAAGGGUGGUGAUUGCCGAUAUGGUAUUUCCACGUAAAACUGGCCGAUGGGGUAGUGACGGCUGCGGGGUUAGCCUAGACCCGCACCUUGGCUCACACUCUCAACGCCUCUUGCUUCCUCUGCAGCCUACACUACCCCAGUUUCACGUGGAGAACUAUAGCAUUGAUCGACGCAAUUAGUAAUGAUCAAAACAAACAAAGUGACUGUGAAAGCGGCCCAUAAGGUUAUCAGGUUAUCACAUUCAGCUCGUAACAACGGUAGAAACACACGACACACAUCAGGUUCCUCUCCCAUAAGGUGUUUUCUGAGGGCUGAAGAGGAACGCCCACCCUUAUAGCUUGGGAAAGAGAACAUAUGAGUUGUGCAAUGAGGGAAGCUUACGCACAUCAUGACCUAAUGGUAUGUAAGCCCGUCACUGUACGCCUUGUAUGAAUAGCUAGUACCACAUGCAAGCUGAUAUGUAGUAAGGUAAAUAAGGGGGAAAGGGGUGAAAUAAGGAAGGGAAAUAAGGAGUAGAGUUGUACGAAUGUAUGCUGAUAUAAAAA